rnacentral:lncRNA from 1 species
UCCUGCGCCUGCCUGCGCCGCCACAUCGUCGUCGUAUUAGCCGUCGGCGGGGACAGUGCGUGCUCCUCCCGUCCGUCUCCUCCGUCGUCGUCGCCAGCGGCGAGCCGCCGCCGGUGCUCUCCAGGGUCCGCCACCUCGGCGCCGCAGCACAUCAACUCACCGACUCUGGCCCACACAACAAAUGCCUAGCGUGGUUUGGCUUAGCUACGUGACACGCGACCUUUUCACAAAAUGCUUCGAACUCCUGGGCGACGGACAACUAUAUAUAUACAGAG